UUGCCUAUGAAAAUCUGUCAAAACUUGCUAAAUUUUUGAAGUAAACUUCGUUCUGAAUCACAGGGACGCCAGAAGGUCUUUAAUUUUAAAGACCUUUUUAUGUUUCUUUUUUUAGGCUUGGUGGGGUCGUUCUCGAAGUGCGACUCCAGGGCCAUUAUUUACUUGUGAAUUUUGUCCUGAUUUCUGUCAUCAUUGAAGAGUUUGCUCUUAUUGCAUAUUAUGCUACUGAAGAAAUAAAAUCCGACUUUGAAUUUAUGUUGGGGCACAUUUUGCCGAACGUUUGGUUACUUCCUUUGUUGCUGUUGCUGAAUUUUCGCAUGGGCUUUAAUUACCAUACCAGAGGAAGAAUUUGUUAACGACCCAGAAUGGUUGUAUGGUACUGAAUGGUACUGGUGAUUAGGAUUUAUACAGUCACUAAAAUGGAUGGUUACACUAUGACAAAUAAAUUCAAAGCUUUCCUCAAACCGUCGAACUUGUGAGGUUCCGAGGACUCAGUUUUGCGGUACACUUGAUUGCAGGGGAAUAGUAAGGCAAAACAAGACGAGAGAGUACUGGAGGAUACAGGGGAACGCGAAAAAAGCAAUUUAGAAUCGAACGAGUAAUCGAUACAGAGUAUGUGGAGCCUUACUAUUUUAAAAUGAGUAAAAUCUAACGCAAAAUGGAAUUAAGCCUCCAAGACUGGUUAUAACAGCGAAUAUACGAAAUACGAACAAUAAUAACGGUUUUAAGAGGAGCUUUAAUCCGUUGUCGAGAACGAAAUUUAUGAUUGUUCUAGUUCGGAAGAGAAGCCCUUGCGAAGGGGGCGUAUGUUAAGCCGUGAGUUUUUUUUAAUUAAGUACAGUUGCGCCAAUUGAAAACAAAAUGGCUUUUUUUUCAUUUUAUUUGAUAUUUUUAAAUCUCUCAAAGCAUAUUAAAGAUUUACAGUUGGUAAAUUGUUAAGGAGAACGCGUCUGUAAUGCAGUACGAGCAAGAAUAAUUGCAACAUUGCUACAAAUUUUACUUUUAAAAUUGUUAUGCUUGUCUCAAUUUUUAUGUUCUAAAAACAAUACUAAGUUUGCUUAACACUGUCAACAAAGCGAAAAGUUUAAAUAAAACGUGUAUAUUUUAUUAAAAAAAUACCAUUGUAAUUAGUACCUACUUAUUUAAGCACAAAAGAUGAGUCCGCCAUUGGUAACUCCAUUUAAAAGAAUCGAGAAAUUAAAAGCAAAUCGCAUAAGAAAGGCGUAAAAACUUAUGGUAUCGCCGGUGCGCUGUAGGUACUAUGUGCAGAUUAGUUUGUUAUUAGUUUAGUUUUGAUUUGUGUAUCAGUAGGUCAUUGUAUGACUUAUGAAAAAUUAAACAAAUUUUGAAAUGAGAUCAAUGUGGUCUUGUGUUACGGAAGUGCUGAUGGUCUUGCUUUAAGGGUUCACACAUUUGUGGAAGAAGUUUGUUAAUAAGUAUCCGGCAGUUAGCUAUAAUUCAGCACAGGCGCGUAUUACUAAUUAACUUAAUUCGAAUUAGUUUAAUUCUGAAUUAAAUCUAAAUUUCGCUUUCUGUAAACCGACCCUAAUUUUAAUUGCAAUUAACAUGUUCUGUAAACUGGUUCUAAAUGUACGAUUUAAUUUAGAACUGGAUUUUUUUAUAUUUGUACCUACAAAUACAAGGUGACACAAAAGAUGCUUUGUGAAUAUUAAAAAGUAAUGCUAAAAGGUUUUACCCACGGUUUUUGAACGAGUUAACGCUAGAUAAUGUUUAUCGAUUCUAUAAUUUUUACAUAAACACAAAUCCUUUUAAGUUUUUGCAAAAAUAUUUCCUUUAGCGCUAAAGCUAAAAGCAGUAAAAAAUGCAAAAUUUUAAAAUAAUAUUUUGCACCAGGAUUACAGGAGUGCGAUGUAAUAAAAACGUUUAUACAAUAACAAUAUAGAUUUGUUUAAGAAAAUUACGAGGUUUACAAAUUUUACACAAUUUUAAGUAUUUGCAAUAAUUUCCAGAAAUUUGUAGAAUACUGUAACUUUCUGUUUUACAAUGACAUGUCACGGUAAAGAUUAAAGGUUUCUGUAAAAUUGCAGUUUUAAUGUCGAUAUCCGUUGUUAGUGGCAUCUAGGUUUGAGGUACCAAAGUACAAUUUUACAGAUUUCUAUAAAAGAAGGU